ensembl:lncRNA
GCAUCUUCUUAAAAGUAAACUAGUUAUAAGUGACUGAACCAAAGAGAACAGAUUACAAAAGAAAAACAGGAUAGGAUGGAUCAUGAUAUCAAUGGGGUUCAUGUGUUGACAUCUUGUGCUGCUGAGAUUACCUGCUCCUCAGAAAAGUGAAAGAAUUAAAGCAAGGAUCUGCUACAUUCACAGUCUGUUUAGGGAAGAUAUAGAUUUUCUCUGCUUUGGAGUUCCAGAGGACAAAACUCAGAGACCAGAGAUAAAGGGGAUUGGUUUGCCAAUCACAGAAGCUGUAGAGCGCGUCUCCUGGUGAGGAAGCACUAAUAUCUUCCUCUUAUGUCCAUACUGAGGCACUGCGGGAAUGAGUAACAGGAGAAUCCCAUACCGACCUCAGCCCAAGACAAGUAGUCAGACCCAGCUCUAUUUGCAGUAAAUGCACUUCAUAGACUGUUUUUAAAGAAAAGAUUCAAUAAAAAUAACAAUAAUAGUAUCAAGAGUAAAUAUAAAUCCAGAAGGGUGGAUCCACUAUCUGAGAAAGCAACAUUGACAAACAGCUACAAGGAUCUAGGGGAGGACCCUUUAACACCCAGGGUGGAAGGAAGUGCUCUUGAUUUCUAUGGAGCUGGACCUAAAUUGAAAGGAGUUGUAGUCUUAGAAGCAGAUUUUCUGAUACAAAGAUUGUCAAAUUCAUUGCUUCGUAACAUCUCAUAAAACCUGCUUUGUGUUUACUCCAAUAUUUAUGUAUGCAUGAGAGCCUCAGUUCUUUGAGGUGAAGAAAAUUUCUGUAGUGGUACGCAUGGUGGUUUUGAAAGAAAAGCCUUGAGGAGAAUCGCUUACUGGUGGCUUGAUAAGCAUCAGGAAAUGUAUAAAAGAGAAAUUUCUUCCGGUGGAAAGAAUUGAUUAAAUAAAAAUUUAACAAGUGGCACCUAUUCCGUGCACCUCCUUGAUGCAGAGGAAAUGGGCAUCUAUAUACAGUUCUGUAGUCCCUCUAAUAUUCGGAGAAGUGGAG